CUGUCAUGACUGAGUACUCUGCGCUUUCAUUCCUGAAAGCAGCCAUCUGUGUGAGUGUGUGAGUAUGUGAGCAUGAGUGUGAGGGUGUGUGUGUAUCUGGAUGUGUGGUGUGUUUCUUGUCUCUAUUAACGACCUCUACUUCCUCCAAGAUGAAUUCUGAACUGAAAAGUUAAGAUGUAUAGGUGUGUAUCUGCAUGCCUGUGGUUGGCCGUCAUACUGCUCCCUACCCUGCAAGGUAAAGUGACUGCCCCGGCCCAGCUGCAGGCGACACUAGGCCACACUGUUACACUAGGCUGUAAUUUGACUGUGGAAGUUGGUGACAUCCUUAAACAGGUUCGCUGGUUGGAUUUGCACAACAAAAGUGUCCUUCAUUACCAGCCUGAGAAGCCUGGCAGCCUCACCAAGCGGGAUGGUGUGGAGGUCAUUGACCAGCAAAUGAACACAAGCAUUAUUUCCAUUGAGAAGACCAAGCCAGGAGAUGAAGGCUGCUACACAUGUGUGUUUGAUGUGUACCCAUCUGGACAGCAGCGGGGGAAGAUUUGCCUCUUUUUAAAUGCGAAAGCAGAGUCAGUGGGGAACAAGACAGCAGUGCAUGGGAAGCAGGUGACGCUCUCGUGUACCUACGCACUCGCCAGCAGGGUUCGUCAGAUCCUGUGGAAGAAAACGGCGGAGCAGGGUGACACUGCCACUGUGGCCUCCUACACCAUGAGUGGUAACCUGACUGUGCAGGAGCAAUUCAAGAAGCGGAUAAAGCUGAGCAAGACAUUAGGACACAGUGAGUUAACCAUAGACCCUGUCUACAUGGAGGACGAGGGAUGUUACACCUGCGAUUUCCACACGUACCCGGAGGGCUCGAAGAGUGUCACGGCAUGUUUGGCUGUCUACGUCCUGCCCAAACCUGCGUUACGCUACAUCAACCUAGAGAAUGGAGUAAUCCAGGCCAACUGCACGGCCGUGUCUCGUCCUGCGACAGAACUCGUCUGGAAUGUGGAGGGUCAUAACCACACGCUGGCACCCUCCGAGACCUCGUGCUACCCGCAGGGAGACGGCACUACACUGGUGGUCACCAUCAUACAGUUUCACUCUGAGUUGCUGGACGAAGAACAAGUGACAUGUACAGCACUACACCAGGGCUUGAACACGAGCGUUUCUGUAGCGCUGACCAAAACUGGAUUUAAGAACAUUAUCAUCAUCUCAGUCGGGCUUGUAGUGCUGGUACUGCUCAUAUGCCUGUGUUUGUUCAUGAAAAGGCGAUAACGAGAAGGAUUCAUACAGGGAACCCAAAUUAGUGCUGCUAUGACUGCAGAAAGCAACAGUCUUCCUUAUAUACAUACUGUAUGUGUGUGUGUUUCAUGAAUGUACAGUACUAAUAAGCGUUUCUAUUCUAUUACACUACAAUGCUCUCACUGGAGACGCUAAAACUAUUUUUGUUUCUAUUUUCAUGAUGAAUUUCAUUGUUCGUAAUAGUUAUCUUAUUGUUGUUGACCUUAUUAAUAUUGAUUUAAAAGAAAAAAGACGAGACAUCCACAUGUUAUGAGUGAUCGAGCUUGACACCCCCUGCACGUGCAUCUCCACUAGGGGGAAGUGGAGGUUUUAAACCAUGGAGUCUAAACAGGGGGAAUACAAAUGACUUAAUGAUUUUGCUCUUAUUAAGUAAACAGCUAGAUGCACAUAAUAUGUCAUAAUGUGCAACUACAGUAAAUAUUAACAUACAGUAAAGAGUAACAUCGAGUUCCCACCACGAACCUGGUACGUCUCUGAUAAAAUGUUUUUUUUUGUCAAUGUCUAUUUUAAAAAAGUAAAAAAAGUGGAAAAAAAAUAGGUGCAAAGGCAAUUUUAAAGAACUAUUCAGAAGCUUUUAUAAUUGAAUCCUUGCAGUUCUUUUUUUUCACCUGUGGCAUUGAUAUAACAAUUCCGUGAUAUCAGUUAUUACAGUCUUAUAUACAUUUAUUACGGUUACUGUUUAUUAAUAUGUACAGAAAGAAAUGCAAAAGUGACCACACCAUUUUUUUAAACUGACAUGGGAGGCGCAUGUUGCUAGGGUAACUCUUCUUCUAUCCAAAGGUACUACUUAACACAAGGCAUCAUUGCCCAACUUAACUCUCGAAUCCUGUUUGAAAGUCCCCUUUGUCACAGUUGAUGGUCUUUCACUGCGCAGUUUGUCUUCAGUGCUGGUUUCCCUUUCUUUAAACUUCUUCAUCCACCUGUGCACUGUGCGUUGUUGUCAAAGGCGUAGUCUCUGUAAACAUUCUGUAGCACAGUGGGGUAAAUAGUACCUUUGUACAGAGAAAGGGUUACUCUACUGACACCUGUAGUUUAAUAAAAAACAAUGUAUGCUCA